rnacentral:lncRNA from 10 species
GCGUUCCCGCCGCCUCCGAGCUCGCCUGGGGCUGCCGCCCGCCUCCUGCCGGGCCCUCGGGCUCGCCCGGCACCGCGGGGCUUGAUCAGGGAGAAAUGAUAUCUUCAGGGAAAAGACUUCGAAAAAGUGCCUGAAGUGACACAACACAUGUUUUCUUCUGGUAUCUGGCUAAAGAAUGAAAUCUGGCAGAAAUAUUUAAUGAAGAGGAAUCUGAACAUAGCAGUUGAGAAAGAAAGAUUGGGAGAAGACUCCAGAUGUCGUAAAGCAAAGAGAGGAUGAGGCACAGGAAGCAGCUCUUAUUAUUUCUGUUGCACUUUGGCUCAGAGAACUCCAAGCAAUUGAUUCUAUCCUGAGGACAUAUUUUUUCAAUUUGAGAUAUAAUUAAUUUGUUUUCCAGUAAAAUAGAUAUUAGUAGAUCUAUGACAUACAGGAAACAAUCGAAAAUAGAGAUAAGUGGUAAUAAUACCUCAUUACUUAAGACAUCUUUUUCAGAAAAUUAUUCUUCAGUGUGUGGUGCAUUGGCUUUCUAGGAAAGAACGGGAGGGAGAACCCUGCUGACAUGAAUAAUGGCCUGGGGGAGAGGGGGAGAGAAGCAAGAGAAAGGAGCAGUUAAGAGGAAAAUGAUGUCAUAUGGAAAGAAGGAAAUAGAUCAGGGCGUCUUUAAGAGCUAAUAUCAAUUGGGUUUAGUGUCUGUAUUUAGAGGAUGGGAGAGAAGAGGUAUCAUCUAGGGUUUUGGCUUGGGCCACAGGUAGAUCUUGUUAAGGCUGUACGAAAUAGAAAAUCCAGGAGGUAACGCAGGUGUGUGGGGGAAAUGAUACAAAUGUAAAUCAUACAAGGAUAUGAACCCUGUAGAUUUUACAACUUUGAGCUCUAUCCUUCUUAGGCCUUCUCUUCUAAGCAGCAUAAACUACUGCUGCCUACAUGUUGCCUGUUCAUAAAGGCUGAGGCAGGGGAGUCGCUUGAACUCGGGAGGCGGAGGUUGCAGUGAGCCGAGAUCAUGCCAUUUCCCUCCAGCCUGGCGACAGAGCAAGACUCCAUCUCAAAAAAAAGAAAAGAGAAGAAAAAAACAAAGAACUUUAUGCACCUUCUGGAAUAACAAAAUGCAAAUGUAAUGUUAUCUACCAGGAUAGAAAUUGGAGGCUAGAAUAUGUUGGGUAGGGUAGAGAGACUAGAGGGAAUGAUUUAGCAAUAAAAUAGGUUUAAAUAUCUUCUCACGUGCCCAGACUUAAUUAGCUUUGUAUUAUUCCUAUUAGUAAGCCAGGAAUUAGUACUAGGUGAUAAGCAAGGAUGUGCAGGGCCUUGUGAGGAAAAGAGUUACUGUAGCAGUUCUGGAUGCUUACCCCUUGCAUGUCUCCAGGGGAACCAUCUUUGACCUUGGCCAACCCCUGGAUUGCAAUCCUUGGAGUGUUCUUUAUGUUAGUGAUGAUGAUUUUGUUGUAUACACCUGGAGCAUUGGACCAUUCCAUACUGGCUCGCCAGGUUGCGUUGCACAAACACCAAGACUGAUAAAUAGGCACCUGGUUUUAUUAUUGGGCCCCU